rnacentral:tRNA from 1 species
UCAGGCUUAGCUCAGCUGGGAGAGCAUCUGCCUUACAAGCAGAGGGUCGGGGGUUCGAUCCCCUCAGCCUCCACCA